AUUGAACGCUGGCGGCAGGCCUAACACAUGCAAGUCGAGCGGUAGCACAGAGAAGCUUGCUUCUUGGGUGACGAGCGGCGGACGGGUGAGUAACGCGUGGGAAUCUACCUGGUAGUGGGGGACAACAGUCGGAAACGACUGCUAAUACCGCAUACGCCCUUCGGGGGAAAGUGGGGGAUCUUCGGACCUCACGCUAUCAGAUGAGCCCGCGUCGGAUUAGCUUGUUGGUGAGGUAAAGCCUCACCUAGGCGAUGAUCCGUAGCUGGUCUGAGAGGAUGACCAGCCACACUGGGACUGAGACACGGCCCAGACUCCUACGGGAGGCAGCAGUGGGGAAUAUUGGGCAAUGGGGGAAACCCUGACCCAGCAACGCCGCGUGAAGGAAGAAGGGCCUUCGGGUUGUAAACUUCUUUUAGCAGGGACGAAGAACGUGACGGUACCUG
rnacentral:rRNA from 1 species